UGUUCUGUGGCUUAGUUGGUUAAAGCGCCGGUAUAGCGAAUACGGAGUCGUGGGUUCGAAUCCCACCACAACAC
rfam:Aedes albopictus isolate Foshan contig66944, whole genome shotgun sequence.